rnacentral:misc_RNA from 1 species
UUAACUGCAGGUUCUUUUUUUGGCCGAAUAACCUCGGGCUCAGCACCACUAACAUCUUCAUUGAUAUCUUCAUCCUCUGACUCAAUAUCACAGAAUGUCACAACAGGAGCUCGUUUAACAUCACAACUAGUUUCAUUAAAGCUAUCCCCAUAUUUGUGUGAAGAAACACGAGAAGAGGGAUAAUCAAGACUCAAAAUUGACUCAUUUGAAGCCCAAUCUGGUUGGCUUAGAUCACUGAACUCUAAGCCUCUGUCUUUGCGACCAGUUGAAGCCUUCAUAUUGUGUGUACUCCUUGACAAAUCUCUAGAUUUCUCAAAACUACUCGAAAAUCUGAAAGUACCAGAACUCCCCACCCUUCCCAGCAAUUCAUGUGAAUGAUCACGACUAAUGGAGGUAGAUGCCAAAUCAGUGGAUUCAUUGAUUAAACCAGAAAAUUCACCAACACUCUCAUCACCAUUACACCUCU